rnacentral:rRNA from 1 species
AACGUAGGAGACAAACGUUAUCCGGAGUUACUGGGCGUAAAGGGCGUGUAGGUGGUAAUGUAAGUCUGGCGUGAAAUUUUUCGGCUUAACCGGGAAAGGUCGUCGGAGACUGCAUAACUAGAGGACGGUAGAGGCGUGUGGAAUUCCGGGUGUAGUGGUGAAAUGCGUAGAGAUCCGGAGGAACACCAGUGGCGAAGGCGACACGCUGGGCCGUACCUGACACUGAUGCGCGACAGCAUGGGGAG